CGGGGUGUGGCGCAGCUGGUAGCGCACCAGUAUGGGGUACUGGGGGCCACAGGUUCGAAUCCUGUCACCCCGACCA
rnacentral:tRNA from 1 species